rnacentral:rRNA from 1 species
UACGUAGGGUGCGAGCGUUAAUCGGAAUUACUAGGCGUAAAGCGUGCGCAGGCGGUUUUAUAAGCCAGAUGUGAAAGCCCCGGGCUCAACCUGGGAAUGGCAUUUGGGACUGUAAGGCUGGAGUAUGGCAGAGGGGACUAGAAUUCCUGGUGUAGCAGUGAAAUGCGUAGAUAUCAGGAGGAACACCUGUGGUGUAGACAGCUUACUGGACCAUUUCUGACGCUGAGACACGAAAGCGUGGGUAGCAAACAGG